ACGAUCAGAGCGUGAGACUUCACAUCUGGAGCACAGGAGACAUUCUGUGAUAAGUCCUCCUUCUAGCUUGUCCCACAAGCAGUCGAGCUGAGACACUCAGGACUGAACAGACUGCACAGUUUCUGUGACUGAGCCUCCAAAACACCUUCUUUGAAACCACUCAUGAUAGAAGGGCUUUAUAUUUGCAGCAGCACUACUACAGUUGGCAGGAAUGUUGCUGCAGGAAAACAUCCCUGGAGAUCACCAUCAUUGUCAGACUGACUGUGCCUCCUCUGUGCAGUGUCAAGAUCCUCCCUAAAUGAGUGUUUCUCAGCUAUCCUGCUUCUGUGCUGCUUGCCACACAUCAAACUCUGGCCGGAUGACAGGGAGGAUCCACUCUGAAGUCACUGGACAUUAUGAGGAUCAUAUGGGACUUCAUAGUUUCACAGUAACAUUGUGCUCUGUGAUUACAGGUUUUAAAUGGAUACAAUGACUGCCUCUCUCUGAUCAACAGGCUAAAGGAUUGUUUUCAUUGUUAGUGCUCUGUACAAUGUAUGCUUAUUUAGUAUUUCAUCACAGAGCAAACCUUUAUUUAUUUAACAUAUUUUUAUUUUGUUUUAAUGUUGAAUUAACUGUAGGGAUUUUUUUAAGUGGGCACUCGGGAUGUCAUAUGACCAGAAAUGUGGUA